UACGGAGGGUGCAAGCGUUGCUCGGAAUCACUGGGCGUAAAGGGCGUGUAGGCGGUCUCGUAUGUCUGACGUGAAAGCCCCGGGCUCAACCCGGGAAGUGCGUUGGAAACUGCGAGACUAGAGUCUCGGAGAGGAAGGUGGAAUUCCAGGUGUAGCGGUGAAAUGCGUAGAUAUCGGGAGGAACACCAGUGGCGAAGGCGACUACCUGGCCUGUUUCUUGACGCUGAGGCGCGAAAGCUAGGGGAGCAAACGGG
rnacentral:rRNA from 1 species